rnacentral:rRNA from 1 species
UACGGGGGGGGCAAGCGUUGUUCGGAAUUACUGGGCGUAAAGGGCGCGUAGGCGGCUCUUCAAGUCAGCCGUGAAAUCUCCAGGCUUAACCUGGAAGGGUCGGUUGAUACUGUCGAGCUAGAGUGUGGAAGAGGCAACUGGAAUUCCGUGUGUAGCGGUGAAAUGCGUAGAUAUACGGAGGAACACCUGCGGCGAAGGCGGGUUGCUGGGCCAACACUGACGCUGAGGCGCGAAAGCCAGGGGAGCGAACGGG